ensembl:ncRNA ZK180.13 ncRNA
AUAUUAUAUAUAUAUAUAUACAUCAUAUAUUAAUAUAUAUAUAUAUAUAUACCU